GUCCUUAUAUACUCAUUUAAGUACAGACGACUGUAACAUAUUGUCGAUAGCUCUGGUUUCUGAUCAGUUUAAAGCAAACUUGAAAGGGUCACUAUUGAAGACACACACGCGAAGAUCAGCAGGCUGUUUGGAAAUUGCAACGGUGGGUGAAGGUGAACACUGAUGCAAUGAAGAUCGUGAUUGUCUUGGUAGUUUUGCUAACAGUUGGGACAGACUGUGUGAUGUGGAAGAAGUUGGUGCGAUCCAAUCGGCCUAAAAUACCGGUAUGUCCGGGGGAUUUGCAGUGGUACUCCUGCGGUACCGCGUGUCCGCCGGUUUGCGGGAAAGAGGAACAGUUGUUCUGCAUCAUGAUGUGUGUCUCUGGCUGUGCUUGCCCCCAGGACAAGAAAAUCCGGGUCAGCGAGACCAGCACCCAGUGUGUGAAGAGCAGGGAGGAAUGUCCGCAGUGAAACGGCAAUCAAUAUUGUCUCAACAUUCUGUCACCAAGUAUGAUUUUAAUUAAAUGAAAUAUAAUAAACAGAAUUGAGAUUA